rnacentral:lncRNA from 1 species
GGGUUUAUAGUUUUUUUUUAACGGUGAGGGGGGGGGGAGAACGCGUUGAGUUGGAUGCGUUUUUCAUUAACGCUUCUAGCUGGAAGUAUUUUUCUGAGUUUUCGCUAAAAACAUUAAAAGCUGUAAGCAUUAUCAAAAACGACCCAUUCCCGUAAUUUUUCAAAAAUUUGAUCUAUUUCUGUAUUUUUUUUUAAAACGACUUUAUUUGGUAAUCUAGUCCGACAUAGUUGAUACCAUCC